CAUCUCUAUUCUCUGUCCCAUUGGCUGCUCCAUCAACAACUCUAUUCUCUGUCCCGUUGGCUGCUCCAUCAACACUUCUAUUCUCUGUCCCAUUGGCUGCUCCAUCUACACCUCUAUUCUCUGUCCCGUUGGCUGCUCCAUCUACACCUCUAUUCUCUGUCCCGUUGGCUGCUCCAUCUACAUCUCUAUUCUCUGUCCCAUUGGCUGCUCCAUCAACACCUCUAUUCUCUGUCCCAUUGGCUGCUCCAUCAACACCUCUAUUCUCUGUCCCAUUGGCUGCUCCAUCAACACCUCUAUUCUCACUCUCACUUCUGCCCUCUUUUCUCUCUCGUUCCCGUAGUUGACACUCUGUCCACUCUCCCCCAGGUCUUCUGAUGGUGUGUUGGCGGUGGGGACAGUGUUGGUGAGCCGUGUGAACACGGGGGAGAUGGAGGAGGGAGACAUGGAUCACAUCACGGCCGACGUGCAGCAGGCCCAGAAGUGCACCUUAGUUUGUGAGUCAUCACAGGGAACCCCAAACGACAAAGAUAAUAGCCCCUGACGGGUGCUGUCUUUAAGAAUCCGGUUUGAAGGUCUACAAGUUCCAGACGGUGGAUAGUAAAUGGAUGCUGGUGAGAGAACAGAUGGAGGAGUGUACUCUGUCCUUCAGCAUCCCCAGACAGCUCCUCCACCUCUACAUCCAGAAGACAUGA